CACGUAGGGGGCAAGCGUUGUCCGGAUUUAUUGGGCGUAAAGAGCUCGUAGGUGGUUCGGUAAGUCGGGUGUUAAACCCCCAGGCUCAACCUGGGGACGCCACUCGAUACUGCUGUGACUAGAGUCCGGUAGGGGAGCGUGGAAUUCCUGGUGUAGCGGUGAAAUGCGCAGAUAUCGGGAGGAACAUCCGUGGCGAAGGCGGCCACCUGGACCAGCACUGACACUGAGGCACGAAAGCGUGGGGAGCAAACAGG
rnacentral:rRNA from 1 species